rnacentral:rRNA from 1 species
AGAGUUUGAUCCUGGCUCAGAUUGAACGUUGGCGGCAGGCCUAAAACAUGCAAGUCGAACGGUAACAGCGGAAGCUUGCUUCCGGCUGACGAGUGGCGGACGGGUGAGUAACACGUAGGAAUCUACCUAGUAGUGGGGGACAACCCGGGGAAACCCGGGCUAAUACCGCAUACGCUCUAUGGAGGAAAGCAGGGGAUCUUCGGACCUUGCGCUAUUGGAGGAGCCUGCGUCGGAUUAGCUAGUUGGUGGGGUAAAGGCCUACCAAGGCGACGAUCCGUAGCUGGUCUGAGAGGACGAUCAGCCACACUGGAACUGAGACACGGUCCAGACUCCUACGGGAGGCAGCAGUUAGGAAUCUUGGGCAAUGGGCGCAAGCCUGACCCAGCCAUGCCGCGUGUGUGAAGAAGGCCUUCGGGUUGUAAAGCACUUUCAGCGGUGAAGAAAAGCUCAGGGCCAAUAUCCUUGAGUCUUGACGUUAACCGCAGAAGAAGCACCGGCUAACUCCGUGCCAGCAGCCGCGGUAAUACGGAGGGUGCGAACGUUAAUCGGAAUCACUGGGCGUAAAGCGCGCGUAGGCGGUUUGUUAAGUGGGAUGUGAAAGCCCCGGGCUUAACCUGGGAAUUGCAUUUCAAACUGGCGAACUAGAGUGCGGUAGAGGGAGGUAGAAUUUCCUGUGUAGCGGUGAAAUGCGUAGAUAUAGGAAGGAAUACCAGUGGCGAAGGCGGCCUCCUGGAUCGACACUGACGCUAAGGCGCGAAAGCGUGGGGAGCAAACAGGAUUAGAUACCCUAGUAGUCC